CAUGCGGUGCCCGGCGCGGAAAAUAAGAGCUGUGACUGGGUAGCGGCAUGACCGAUUGAGGU
rfam:Marinobacter lutaoensis strain T5054 DSM17466_contig_3, whole genome shotgun sequence.